GACGUAGGGUGCAAGCGUUGUCCGGAUUUAUUGGGCGUAAAGAGCUCGUAGGCGGCUUGUUGCGUCGACUGUGAAAACCCGCGGCUUAACCGCGGGCUUGCAGUUGAUACGGGCAGGCUAGAGUUCGGUAGGGGAGACUGGAAUUCCUGGUGUAGCGGUGAAAUGCGCAGAUAUCAGGAGGAACACCGGUGGCGAAGGCGGGUCUCUGGGCCGUAACUGACGCUGAGGAGCGAAAGCGUGGGGAGCAAACAGG
rnacentral:rRNA from 1 species